AUCUUCAACACAACACAGAGAGUUUCUAUGUCCAUGGCGGCAGGCUUGCGUUUUUCAUCAGAAAUCAAAAACGUUCCUCUGUCUGGCAGGGAGAAUAAGAAACUACACUAAGAGACGUGAAUAUUUGCAGCUCUUCAUCGUACGGCCAGUAGCAAGUAGCGGAGACACAUUACUUUUGAAAGACUAAAUAAAGAAAGAGAUUAACCAUCAUUGGGAGAAAACACGGUCAUCAAAGAAAUGGAUGUCAUCAACAUCAGAGAGAAUCCAAAAGGGAUGGUUUUUAAGAGAGUGUAAUAUUACACAAAAAAGUGGAAGGAUCAGGACACUGGUGUCCAAGUGAUGGAACUUUGUAUCUUAUUAUGUGUUGUUUAAGUCACUGGUGUCCAAGUGAUGCUUAAGACACUGGUGCCAAGAGAUGGAACAGGCGCUAGAGAUACAUUUGAAUGAACCCAAUCCGUAUUAGAUGUUGACACUGAUUUCAG